GCGUCGCGAAGCGGAUCACACGCUCUCCCCGCCCCUCGGGAUCUGGAGCGUCCGGGAGCGGGCGCCCGUGCGUGAUGACGCACGUGGUUGCGAAGACGUGGGGACGGACGCAGGCGGGCCGUAGAGAGCGUUCAGCUGCCUGUAAAUCUUCCCAGAUUCCCAGAACCUGACCACAUUUUCCCAUCCCUGGCUUGACACCUAACCAUGCAGCGGAGAUCAAGAGGAAUUAAUAUUGGGCUGCUCUUGCUCCUUUCUCAGAUCUUCCAUGUUGGGAUCGACAAUAUUCCACCUGUCACCCUGGCAACUUUGGCCCUCAACAUCUGGUUAUUCUUGAAUCCUCUGAAACCGCUGUUGAGCGCCUGCCUUAGCGUGGAGAAAUGUUACCAGCAGAAAGACUGGCAGCGCCUCCUGCUUUCCCCUCUUCACCACGCGGAUGAUUGGCAUUUGUAUUUCAACAUGGCGUCCAUGCUAUGGAAAGGAAUAAAGUUGGAAAGAAGACUGGGAAGUAAAUGGUUUGCCUACAUCAUUGCCACAUUCUCCGUACUCACCGGGGUGGUGUACUUGCUCUUGGAAUUUGCUCUGGCGGAAUUUAUGAACGAACCUAACUUAAAAAGGAACUGUGCUGUAGGUUUCUCAGGCGUUCUGUUUGCUUUGAAAGUUCUUAACAACCACUAUUGCCCCGGAGGCUUUGUCACCGUUUUGGGCUGUCCUGUACCCAGCAGGUUUGCCUGUUGGGCAGAACUUCUGGCUAUCCACUUCCUCUCGCCAGGGACUUCCUUCGCCGGGCAUCUGGCCGGGAUUCUUGUUGGACUCAUGUACACUUGUGGGCCUCUGAAGAAGAUCAUGAAAACCUGUGCAGGCAUUUUUCCCUCCAACACUGGUUACCCGAGACAGCAAUACUACUUUAAUAACACAGGCUAUUCUGGAUAUCAGGGUUACUUCCCGUACGGCGGGCCGGAGUACUAUGAUGUACCCAGGAACUACGACAUGUACACAGCAGGACUGAGUGAAGAGGAGCAGCUGGAGAGGGCGCUGAGAGCCAGCCUCUCGGACCCAGAGCUCGUCCGUCUGAAGGGCUGCGAUGGUGCCGUCCUCGCCUCCCAAGUCAUCCCUGCCUUGGCCGAGGAGCUGACCCUGGUUUUCUGAGCCACCAACCCUUCAGACUUCACGGGGCUCGUACUGCUAACCAGGCUGUCAUUCUUCUUUCAGGGACCGGCAGAAACAGCCCUCCGCCCUAUGGGUUCCGUCUCUCACCAGAAGAAGAAAUGAGGAGAAGGCGGCUUCACAGAUUUGACAGCCAGUGAGGUGGCCCAGCCUCAUGAGCAGAUGUGGUCCAGUUGUGUCAUCAGCGCCCUGAAGCCCCCACUUAGUUUUAAACAAAAGCAGGGGCCACCGCGACACUCCCAGGUGACUCACGUCUUCCACGGCCCGUCAUCCUCUGGCUACUGUGAGUCUAGAUUCACAAACAGGUGGUUUGUGUCUUGAAACCAGGCUCGUUGGAUCCAGCUCACAGCUCCCUCGGAGUGGCCCUCCUCCUGCCUUGUUCUCUCUCGCAGACAGAAGGUCAGCCUCUCCGUGUCGGGAUGGGUUCCACACCCCUUUCUCUCACUGCCGACUCAGCGAUGCCCCUGCCGUGUGGGUCUCUGACGACCGUGACCUCCGCAGGGAGGCUUGUGUUCACCAGCCCGGCAGAGCAGGCCCCCUUUCUGCUCAGUGCUUGACUUGGCAGGACGCUGGGAGCCAUCCCUGGUCCUCUGGGCACUUUGCCAUGGUGACCUUCCAGGCACAAGAUGUGACUUCCAUCCCAGGAUGUCGUUCUGGUCUCCCUUGGCUCGGCCCCUGGGGCCCCACGUCUGGGCGGUGUCUGCAGUGAACCGGCUUAGCUCUUACGUCCCAGGGUGUUUUCCUGGAAAAACUUGAGUAAGACCUCGGAUGGGAGACCACCCACUCACUCCACGACAUAUCAGGGAGCACCAACAGCCUGGGCUCACAGCAGCCUCUCCAGUGACAGCAUCUGUUCCCAGAGAUGGGACUCGUGUUGAACGAAUCAGCAAAGCAGCUGCAGGUGCCCCGUGCAGAGGAGAGCGACCAGCGGGUUGGUCACUGCGAAAUCCCUCCUGAGGAAGUAUUUUUUUCUCAUAAAAGUGCCUUUUAAUUGACCACUGUACCAGCCAUUUGUCCUACACAAGCACCCAAGACACUCCCCUAACCUACGGACUCCAAGUCACUCAAGGUGUUUCCUGGUGCUUGUGUUUUAUGAAUAAAAGGGAAAAGUCAAAUAUCACCAAUGUCUUAUUCACUGAGAUAUUUAUGUUUAAAGAGAGUUAUAUCCAGAAAAGGAUCUUCCUAUUUGGAUUGAUCUAGCAUUUAUAUCAUUUUCUGAUUAUGAAAGUAAUAUAUGUACCUUGUUAUAUACAUAAAUCAAACAUCUGGAAGGAAAUAUUCCCAUGUGUUAACAGGUGUUAUUUUGGAAGGUAGAGUAUGUAGGAUUUUGCUUUCCGUUUUUGACAAUUUUAUACUGCUGUCUUUUUUUAAAAAUUGUGUGUAUGUAUUUGUAUUUGUAUUAUUUUUGCAAUGGGAAAACCAGUUUAUAUAAGAAGAAAAAUAUCAUCAGGAAAAUGGACUUAAUAAGUGUUGUGUCUCCAUCACAGUAUACGCAGAAAUACAAAAAAAUACACGGACGGUGUAAAAAUCACCUGUAUCCCCACCACUCCUAGGCACCCAAGGUUAACAUUUGGCAAGUACUGCUUUCUUAGUCCUCUUUGCAUACAUUUGACAAAUUCAGACACACCAACUGUGCAGCUUUACAUCCUGGUCCUGAUCUGAAUUGAUCCACGAGAGGCUUCGCCUCUUGCAUGUAAAUGAGCUAAGAAAAGCACCUGACCUGGGAGCACUUUGACCUGCCAGCUGGCACGGUGGUACCUGAGCUGUUCUGGUUAAUUUGCAAUCGAUACAAAGCUACAUGCGGCAUAUUUAUAGUGUCAGUCGUACCUCUGCGUCUUGUCCCUUCAAACGUGUUGAAGUUUAUCUCUUCAAGCUAAAUGUCAUUCCCCUUUCUCCCAAAGCCUUCAACUUUGACUUCCAUUACCUCUGCUGGGAGUGACCUCAUUUUCACGCACCAUCUUCUCAUAGCACCUUGGAAAGAUGAUUCUGUUAUAACACUUAGAUCUCCCCCUGUUAUUAUUUGCACACAACUAGAGAAAGACGUGCCUUCUGCACAGGAGCACGGAUUGUGAACGGCUCUGGGACGAGGCUUGUAUCUUGUUAACUACAUUUUCCACCCUGCUGUCUCAAAGACUGGCUCCUGGCUUCUGGUAAGGGAUUAUUAAAUGUUAGUUUCUCAUCAAAGUGUUUUUUUUUCAACACAUUAAAAGUCCAGCCACUGUAUAUAGAAGUGUAUGUUUUUUACUGCUGUUGAGUCCAAUCAUAGCAGCUCCUGGCUUUAGUUCACUUGUCAGAUAUAAAGAUGCUGGAAUUGGAUUUUGGAUGGUGUAACUGUAAUAAUGUACACCUUCUUUAUCUAUGGAGUGUGACAUCAAACUUUACACGUGUGGGAAAGUUCAUUUUAGUUAUAAAUACAAACCAGUUAUCUUAGCACAAUGACGAUGUGCUAAAUCCCACAACAAUGAACACGUUCUGGGAAUUACUGUAACGACUUUGUUCAGUUAAUAGGUUUGCCUGUAACCAAUGCUUAUUAUUUUCAAUUUCUAUCUUUUUUUUUCCCUACAAUAAGGAGUCUUCAAAGUUUUGCCGGAAAACUGGAAUUGGGUUCAGAAAGACAAAACGAAAGCCAGUGUGUCCGACUAAUUAUCUCAAAUAGGGAACAGGCAUUUAGAGCUGGUUUUUAAUUUGGUUUCUUGGCUUAAUAGUAAUUUGCCGAUUGUUACACAGCUGGUUCCCAUACUGUGGUUGUGGUCAGUCACCUUACGAGAUCCCUUAACUCAGAAUCUUUUCUUGGUUCCCAAGAUGAGGGGGCGGUUAAAACUGCUUCUGCUUCAUGACCUUGAAUGUAUUUAUUGCCUGUGGUCCCAGAGUGGUAGACGAUUGUUCAAGGCUUCUCCGUCCUUGGAGCUUCCUGCUGCGGAGGCUCAGACAGUAAAUGGCUGGUUUUUGUAGGAUUGGGUUCAGUCUACGCAUUUGACACACAUUCUGCUGCCUGAGAAGUGAGUUAAAGGGGUGAGAUCUGCCGCCCACAAGGGACAGCAAAACAGGGAGAGAGUGGCAGAGGCUCCUCCUUCCCAGUCCUCAUUUCCCUCGAGAGAUUCAGUAAAGACUUGUAGUCAAUUAGUCAUUUAAAAAAACAAAACAAAAAAACCUGUCUUCCUUCCCCUUCCCAUGGAUCAUUGCAGUCAUUUCCUUUUUUUUUUUUUUUUUUUGUCCCCUGGUCUUUCAUUUUAGAAUCACAGAUUCUGCUUAGAAGGACCUUAAAAUCUCUCAGUUCACUGCUCUCAAUACUUAAAAUGCCUCUUCACCCAGUUCUGGAUAGCUCUGCCACUUCGUCUUCCAGAUCUACUUGUGAGAUGCCACUCACCGUCUCUACCUUUUACCGUCUCUCAGUUGCCGACGGAUGAAGGUCAGACUCCUUAGCCUCAACCCUGGGGCUCCAGCCAGCCUCCCGACCCCACCCCCACGUGACCGUAACAGAGUCCAUGCUUCUAACUGGGCUCAUCGUCCAAGCUGUGGGUUUCCUGAUCCUGCGGCUUAAAUGAAACUGCCUUUUCCUCUCUCUCGGCCCAUCCAGACCCUCCCCGUCCUGCCCCCAGACGCCGCAGCCCACAGCUCUCAGCUCUUGUGGCGUGUUCCUCGGAGUUUCCUCAGAGCCACUUAGACUUGAUGGUUAUCCGGCAAUGGGAGGGGGAGCUUUCUCUCUAGAUUGUAAGCUUCCCGAGGGCAGGGACCACGACUGUGUUUCUGUGCAUCUCUUCAUAGUACCUUGAACAAUGCUUUGGAAUGUCUGGAAUGCCAAAACCAAUAAACAUGUGUGGACUGAAA